GUUUUAAUAGUUUAAUAAAAAUAUUGGUUUUGUAAACCAAUGAUAAGAAAAUUCUUUUAAAACU
rnacentral:tRNA from 1 species